rnacentral:rRNA from 1 species
UACAGAGGUCUCAAGCGUUGUUCGGAUUCAUUGGGCGUAAAGGGUGCGUAGGUGGCGCUGUAAGUCGGGUGUGAAAUUUCGGAGCUCAACUCCGAAACUGCAUUCGAUACUGCGGUGCUUGAGGACUGGAGAGGAGACUGGAAUUCAUGGUGUAGCAGUGAAAUGCGUAGAUAUCAGGAGGAACACCGAUGGCGAAGGCAGGUCUCUGGGCUGACACUGACGCUCAUGCACGAAAGCGUGGGGAGCAAACAGG